GCGCUCGUAGCUCAGGUGGAUAGAGCAGGAGCCUUCUAAGCUCUUGGCCGGGGGUUCGAAUCCUCCCGGGCGCG
rnacentral:tRNA from 2 species